UACGUAGGGUGCGAGCGUUAAUCGGAAUCACUGGGCGUAAAGCGCACGUAGGCGGCUUCUUAAGUCAGGGGUGAAAGCCCGGAGCUCAACUCCGGAACUGCCAUUGAAACUGUUUGGCUUGAGUACGAGAGAGGUGAGUGGAAUUCCCAGUGUAGAGGUGAAAUUCGUAGAUAUUGGGAAGAACACCGGUGGCGAAGGCGGCUCACUGGCUCGUAACUGACGCUCAGGCGCGACAGCGUGGGGAUCAAACAGG
rnacentral:rRNA from 1 species